rnacentral:snoRNA from 1 species
GCGCCCGGCCAAGUUUGCAGUUCUCUUAAGAGACUAAGCACAGAAGGCUAAAGUAAUUCUCCAUAAAACCCAGAGAAGAGAUUGUAAAACUCCUCUGUAGAUUCCUGUCUGGAGUCACAGCU